rnacentral:rRNA from 1 species
CCGGGCGCACGGGUGCGUAACGCGUAUGCAACCUACCUUUAACAGGGGGAUAACACUGAGAAAUUGGUACUAAUACCCCAUAAUAUCAUAGAAGGCAUCUUUUAUGGUUGAAAAUUCCGAUGGUUAGAGAUGGGCAUGCGUUGUAUUAGCUAGUUGGUGGGGUAACGGCUCACCAAGGCUCCGAUCGGUAUCCGGCCUGAGAGGGCGGACGGACACACUGGGACUGAGACACGGCCCAG